UGCCGAGCUGGGAGCACAGAUCUCGGCUCCCGGGCUGCGUGGGCUGACAAGCAUCUCCGGGGCUCUCAGGUGUGCGCACUUUCCAGGCUCCGCAGCUGAAACUCCGCCGGCAGCCCAGGCAGCGCCCACCUGCUCUCAACUAGCCAGCGUCUCCCUCGGCCCGCGUAAAUCCAAGGCCCCAGAUCCUGCCCGCUCCAGAUACUGCAAACGCUGACUGCGCCAACAGAAACUCAGAGGCCCUUUUCAUCUGGUUCAAGAGAAGCUCAACAGAAAGUGAAACAGCUCCCAUCCCUUGGGGGAGAAGGCUCCAGGACAGGUCCCAGGAGAGCGAAUGGCAUGAAGGAGGACAGCCCGGCUCACAAGGUCCACAGCCUAAUCUGUGUCAUCAACUCAAAACUCAAUGGAAACACCUCUUUGGUCAUUGGAUAAAACCAUCUUCAAAAACACAAUGAUUUGAAUAUUUGAAAAUGAAUCAGAUAGGCUGGAACUACAGCGUGAAGGUGAAUGGCCUUUUCCAAGCAAUAACUAGGAACGUGGAACCUGAACCAAACGCUUCAAUAAGGGUGCUGGAACAAUUAGCAGCCUUUUAAGAACUUGUUCUUGUGUGAGCCAUGGCCCAAGCCCAUCUGGAAACCAGGAGGGGAAGGGGAAGAAACCAGAAAUUACUUACUAAAUAGACAUCGAGCACGGAGGCAUCAUCAUCCUGCAUUUCCAGAGCAUUUGGCUCAGAAGCCAAGUAGAUGGUCCCCUCUUCCAAGGUAAAGGUUGAACUGGAAGGUAACCCUUUACUGGAAAAAUAAAGAAGAAUGAUGAGCAUGUGGCCUUCAGAACAAAAUCCAAGGACUUCUCCAAAGUGGUGACUGAGAGAAAAAAAUUCUAGUUGACCUGACAUGAGAGAGUUGGGCUCUGCGAUUUCAAGGCCUGAGGUGGAGAGAUGCUGCGUGCAGGCUGGGGAAGCCUGGGGACCAUCUGCAGUGUCACAGGGCCAGUGCUGCUGAAGUAUGAGCAGAGGGGACAUGGGUUCGAUCUCUGGUCCGGGAAGAUCCCACAUGCCAUGGAGCAACUAAGCCUGUGCGCCACAACUACUGAGCCUGUGCUCUACAGCCCGUGAGCCACAACUACUGAGCCCAUGUGUCACAACUACUGAAGCCCACGUGCCUAGAGCCCGUGCUCCGCAACAAGAGAAGCCACCACAAUGAGAAGCCCACACACCUCAACGAAGAGUAGCCCGCGCUCUCCGCAACUAGAUAAAGCCCACGCACAGCAACAAAGACCCAAUGCAGCCAAAAAUAAAUAAAUUUUUUAAAAAAAGGGAUUUUCACUUAAAUGUUUAUGUCACUGAUCAAUUUCAUGUUCAUUUCUCUUCAGUUCUGACAUUGGGAAAUAUUCUUGCUAUUGCCCUGUUUUCUUACUCACUGUUGAUUUCCUGGGCACAAGCCUAUUUGGUAUCAAUUUCUAAUUUCUCUGGCUGAGAGUUUUCCAGAUUCCGUUUUAGGGGUCACUUAUAAGUGAGAGCAUCUCUCUUGGGUAGAAUGCCUUCAAAACCCAGCGAUCCAGUCAGAGGGCCUGCCAUUCCUCAGCCUUGCAGCUUGGGAAGAUCCAUGUCUAGAAGCAAUUUUACGUGAAUGGGUUUAAAAGUCUGGCUGGCUGCCUGGGUUCUGCACCAUCAAGUUUUGCCACAGUUCCCUCAAUUGAGACUGUCUGAGGGCUAAUUGCACCUAAUUUGCAACAAGGCGCUCAGGAAACCGUUAAUCUAUCUAGUUCUGUUCCUCCCUUGUAAAAGCAGAGGAACUGCCAAUAUUCUUCAGCUGCUCUGUGCUCUGGUCUCUGCACACAUCACAAACUUGUCACAGGUAAGAGUAGUACAAGGAGGGGGAAUUUUAUGUCCUCCUAGCUCCCUCCGGGAGCUGACAUUAAUGGUUCUCUGAUGCCACGCAGGCUUCUCUGUCAUUUACAAAAAUGCUCCUUUUGGUUAUCAGCAACAUUAGUUUGGCUUCAUUGGAGAGCAUUAGCCUGGCUGGACUGCUGAAAACAGACAUCAGUAAUUUUACAGCCUGGAACACUCUGAUUUCUGUUUGCAGACCUAAUGAGUGUUUUAUAGCUAAUUCUCGUGAGGGCAUUUGCUCAGAGAACAUAUGGUUUUCGUCUUUUAAAGGCACAGUUUCUGUCUUUUGAAAGUCAUCCUCUCACUGCCUUUAUUUCUUUUCUGUCAAAGUAAUAUCAUAAUGUAUCAUACAAUACAGAUGACUUUUGAUGAAAUAAACAACCUCCUGCUCCCACCUGCACCCCAGUCAUCUCCCCAAAGGUGGCACCUUUCACCAUUUCUCUUUUUAGCCCUUCUGGUGGUUCCCUUCAUAUCUUUUGAUGAAUCAGGGAAUGAAAUAUAUUCUCAACCCAAGGCAGCAUCUAUUGAUUCAAUAUAAAGGAUGUUUGCCUACCCCUACUUCGUACUUCCUCCCAACAUUUGCUAUUUAUAUUUUAUUUAUUGUGUAACUGUAAAUCAUAUACCUAAUAACCUUUUCUAGUCCAUCAACCACAAACCAUAUAUCUUUAAUUUCCCAUAUUAUUUAAUCUUUGUCCCUGCUUUCCUCUCUCAUUUUGUAUUAGAUACACUUUAAAAAGAUCUUUAAAAAUCUUUACUUUGUCUUGGCUAUUCAUACUUAUAUUCCUUUAUUCUUAUCUUGUAGCUUUAACCAAUUUUUCCUGCUUUGUCCAUGGAUUGAUUCUAAAAUCAGAAAAUCAAUACAUAGAGUUUAUAUUAUUAUGACUAUGUAAAUGUUGUUAAUGCCUGGCCAACAGUGUGUUAGGGUUACAUUUCCCUCUCUGGAUUCAAAAUCAUGAUUGCUGGGCCAUGGAAAGAAAAAUGUUCCCACCAUCAAGGUUAACUGGAAUCUCUGUUUUUUUUGUUUUUUUUUUUAAACUUUUGCUCAAAUUCCUACCACGUUUUAGUCUGCUUCAUGGUUGGAGGUUUUUGCCCUUUAGAAAUGGACUGAAUGCCAUGGGGGUAAAACCUAGGGAACCUCUGGACUAAGUGUGGAGGCCUGAGUACAAGCCCUGCUUCUCCGAUUAUUAGUUACAACGCUGGGCAAGUCAUGACCCUGAGGUCCUGGUUCCUCCUCUGAAAGUGAGAAUGGCAGUCCCCGUCCAGCCCACCUCCCAGGGCCAUCAAGAGGACCAAGUCAGAACAUGCAAGCGAAAGAAAGGCAGACAGAGGCCACUUCCACGCUUUCCCACUUUGGCUGUUUUUAGACAAGGAGGCUGCCUGUUUCUAACGAAGGCAAGCAGAGCGGCAGGCUCUCUCUCUGGAAUUGAGCAAUGGCUGCCUUAUGGGUCUAACACUUGGGUUUAACCCUCGUCUCUCCCUGUGUAAGUGACACCUGAGGCACGAAGAUGGUUGUAGACAAAGCACAAAGAGUAGCACUUUGAACUGGCAGGUGAAGAGAGAAGCAAACACUGUGCUGCCAGGUCUAUUAGUUCUGGGGACCGGAAGCCACAGCUGCUGAGAGAGCCGGCAGCAACUGAGCUCCUGCCACCAGCAGCUUCAGAAGCAAGCAGAGGAAGGAGGUCAGGGCCCUCCCUUUGAGGAAAACGUGUGUACGUGUGUGGGUGGUGGCUGGAGGGAGAAUGCUUUCAAAAAGGAACCCCCAUCCAAGUUCAGGGAACUUUUCCACCAUAUAUCUCUAGGAGAUUUAUUUUUCUUUUCAACAUCCUCCCACACACAUUUGGGACGAAGUGAGAGAGUGGCAUGGACAUAUAUACACUACCAAAUGUAAAACAGAUAGCUAGUGGGAAGCAGCUGCAUAGCACAGGGAGAUCAGCUCAGUGCUU